GAGAGUUUGAUCCUGGCUCAGAUUGAACGCUGGCGGCAUGCUUUACACAUGCAAGUCGAACGGCANCACGGGCUUCGGUCUGGUGGCGAGUGGCGAACGGGUGAGUAAUACAUCGGAACGUACCCAGAAGUGGGGGAUAACGUAGCGAAAGUUACGCUAAUACCGCAUACGUUCUACGGAAGAAAGUGGGGGAUCGCAAGACCUCAUGCUUUUGGAGCGGCCGAUGUCUGAUUAGCUAGUUGGUGAGGUAAAGGCCCACCAAGGCGACGAUCAGUAGCUGGUCUGAGAGGACGACCAGCCACACUGGAACUGAGACACGGUCCAGACUCCUACGGGAGGCAGCAGUGGGGAAUUUUGGACAAUGGGCGCAAGCCUGAUCCAGCAAUGCCGCGUGAGUGAAGAAGGCCUUCGGGUUGUAAAGCUCUUUUGUCAGGGAAGAGACGGUAGAGGCUAAUAUCCUUUGCUAAUGACGGUACCUGAAGAAUAAGCACCGGCUAACUACGUGCCAGCAGCCGCGGUAAUACGUAGGGUGCAAGCGUUAAUCGGAAUUACUGGGCGUAAAGCGUGCGCAGGCGGUUUUGUAAGUCUGACGUGAAAGCCCCGGGCUCAACCUGGGAAUUGCGCUGGAGACUGCAAGGCUUGAAUCUGGCAGAGGGGGGUAGAAUUCCACGUGUAGCAGUGAAAUGCGUAGAGAUGUGGAGGAACACCGAUGGCGAAGGCAGCCCCCUGGGUCAAGAUUGACGCUCAUGCACGAAAGCGUGGGGAGCAAACAGGAUUAGAUACCCUGGUAGUCCACGCCCUAAACGAUGUCUACUAGUUGUCGGGGUUUUAAUUAACUUGGUAACGCAGCUAAUGCGUGAAGUAGACCGCCCGGGGGAGUACGGCCGCAAGNAUUAAAACUCCAAGGAAUUGACGGGG
rnacentral:rRNA from 1 species